GCUAAGGUAGCAUAAUCAUUUGUCUUUUAAUUGGGGGCUAGCAUGAAUGGUUUAAUUGACUAAAUUUAUUUGUAACACUAUUUAAUAAAUUAAAGUUAAAGUAAGAAUACUUUAAUAAUCUAAGGGACGAUAAGACCCUAAAAGCUUUAUCAGUGGUUGUACUUUAGUACUGUAGGUUAGUUGAUUUUACUGGGGUGGUAAUUCUGUUUAAACUAGAUUUUUAAGUAAAAGGUCCUUUAAAUAAAGAAAUAAUGAGUUAGUUACUUUAGGGGUAA
rnacentral:rRNA from 2 species